UACAUGCGUCCACAAAAUAAACCAAACUAUCCAUAAAAUUAAACUACUACCUAAGCAUGUGCAAAAAAGCCUAGUUCUCCCAAAAUACGUACAUUCAUCUAACAUAUUCACCGCACGUACGUUGCCCAUUCAUCCCGUACUUCAUCAAUUUGUUCUUGUGUACGUUGGCUCUUACUGUCAUUGCCAGUUUUGGAAUAACUGCAGCACAAGAUGAUGUUGGAGCACCUGCACCUGCACCUGCACCUGCACCUGCACUGCAGAGCGGCACAUCAACACUUUAUGUUCCAGCAAGACAUUUAUAAUGACAUGAUACAUAUAGCAAUAAGCCAACAAUUCAACACUCUAAAAUUAACAGAAGUAUAUAUGAAGGUCAGUUAAAUGGACUUACAAGAUUUGGGAACAUGUUUCUGAGCGGCGCCAUUCGGUUCUGUCCACCAUAAACCUACUCAAUCUUGAAAGGAUGAUGGCUUUGCUGGAUUGCCAUCUUCACUAUGAGUUUGCUUGGGAUUGAAAACUCCACCAAGACCUAAUCCCUGGGGUAGCUGCUCAAGAUCCUGAAGUUUAUGCCUAAGAAGCUCCACCUCUCUGGCCAACUCGUUAUCUCGUUGCCUCAGUUCCUAAUGAUCACAAACACAAAGGGAUAAAGCAUUAAACUUGGUCAAGGAAUUGCUCGACAUUUCUCAAGUAUCGAGGACUGGAAGCCAAAUCUCAAUGCUCAGAACCAUAACUAGUUAUCAAAGAAACUGAGUCACGUGCAAUACCAUUACCUUAGUAAUGUGAAAGUUACAUCCAAUACUAUUGUAUAACACAGUAAAGGAAAAUUUAUACGCCUUGAAUCAAGUCAUGAGAAUUUUUCAUUAUAUUAGAAAACCAGAGUGACCAAACUACUAAUCUGAAAUUCGAAUUCCUGCUCAACACUCAACUACAAUGAAGAGAAAAAAGUAUGUGGAUGCAUAUAUGUUGGAUAAAUAAUGAAAGUAUAGGCAAAAUAAAAAAGAAAGAAGAUUGUGUUCAAGACAUCACUUCACUUCGUGUUGCUUCAAAAUAAAAAAGGAAGAAGAUUGUACUUCUUGAAGCAGAUACGAGGUGAUGUUAAAAGUAUUGGGCCAUAUAGGUAGUCAAGUUUCUGUUCUAAAGACUCUGAUUAUGAACACUACACUAAUGAUAUAAGACUCUGUUCUGAAGAAUUAUAGGCAUGUUGGAAGUGUAGAUCAUAGCUUUAUUGGGUAGGAGCCCUGUUGUCCACGAGCAUUCUUUGACCGAACAGGUAAAACCACACGAAAACCUUGGAAGUAGAUCAUAAUAAGGAAGAUCAAGACAGUAGCAAGCAGAUUUGUCUGCCCGGUAGAAAGCUUCUCGAAGAGCUCGAACUUUGUCUGUCCUAGUAAUUAGCAGAUGGAACAAGGCGAUAACAGCACCUUCAAAUUCAGUAAGUUGUGGGGCUAAAUGCUUUCCAGAUAAUGCUUUCACUGCAAGUUAUUUCAAUAUUUGUUGAGAUUAAGUUCUAGAGCGUACAAUUAGUCACAAUGACAACGGAAAAAGUAUCAAUAGCUUACCAGAUAUUGGUAGCUAUGAACAAAGAAAUUUCAGAUCCAAGACCAUAUAAAACAUUAUGUUCAUGCUCAAACAAGCUUUUGUUUACACGUGUGUUUAUAUUUAUACAUCCAUAUAUAGAGAGAGACAGAGAUUUCUUAGCACAGAAAGGGAAACUAAACACUACGUAAAUUACCAUAUUCUAAAUCUUUUAUCAAUCAUAUCAUUAAUGAUGCAUCAAAGUUCAACUCAAUAUUCAAAAUCAUCCAGGUACAAUGGCAUAAAGAAGAGGCCUAAAAAAUAACUGACUUGUUAGCAGAAGGAUCAGUUAUAGGCAGGCUUAUCCAUCUUAUAUUCAUUUGGGACACCACUUCUGAAUGUAUUGCUAACCUUCUCACCCUACAAAACCAUCAAAAAUAAAGUAAGCCAAAAUAGUUUAAUUUGAACCACAAUAAUUACGUGAAAUUAUAUAUUCAGGACUACAAUAGAAAUAUGUUUAUGUUAUACCCCCAAGUCCACUUGAAUCAAAUCAUCAUUAUGAUAGAAAAAUUAAAAAUCAUCCUCAAUUUUUUUUACAAGGACAAUGGAUAAGUGCUUCAACCAAAAGAAAAACUCAAAACUUUCUGACAAACCUUCAUGUGCAAGUUGCUGCAAGUUUGGCAGCAGAAGGGUCUCUUCAUAGAAUGACCUUUGAUGAACAUCAAUACACAGCAUCCUUUUCUAAUAACUUCAAAUGUGAACAUUAUGCAAUAAUAGAAAAAAGACCAUGCUUGUAAUUUUACCAGUUAGGUGGAGAUAAGAGCAGAUUAACUGGCCUGUUUAUAAAUUAUAAGGGUUGCACUGAUUCCAUGUAUCUGCCUAAAGAAAUAAGAUCCACAAUUCUUUCUGGUGUAUUCUUCCAGAGAACAUGUAAUGAUAAAACUUGAC
rnacentral:lncRNA from 1 species